UCUAUCUAAGAAUUUCCUUUGAUUUGGUUUUUCUUUUCAUUCUUGAAAUCACAUCUGCUUUUUUUUUUUCUCAUUUUUUAGGUUUUGUAAUUCUUUGAAAUCUCUCUCUCUCUCUCUCUCUCUCUCUCUCUCUCUCUCUCUCUCUUGUUGGGUAUUUGUGGGAAGUGGUGGGCCUUUUCACCCUAUAGAAAUAGAAAUCCAUGAUCAACUGCACUUCAUGGAUCCAUCUUCAACUCAAUCUAAUCCCUCUAUUGAAGACGAUGAAUCAGGUAUGAUUGCCAAUGAGCUCAGAUUCAUAAAUUAAUGGAUGGUUUUGUUCAAGUCUUUUCAUGAAAUGGCGAAGAAACAACAUCUAGAUUUCCAAAUUUGGUGAAUAUAGUUAAGGAAUCAUGUAAGCCUACUGCCAUGACUUUCAUACUGGAUGCAGAGUUGCAGUAGAUAGAAAGAAUAGAAACAAGCUGAUGGCCUUCCAAUAACUAUCCUCGCGAGAGAGAGGGAGUAAAAUGUCCUAAAUUACAAUGGAUAGCAUAAAGGUGGAGUUUAAAUUCUAAUUUUUGAUACUCAUUCAAAUUUGUUGUACUGCUCAAGUUGUUUAUAUUCUCAAACUUAAUCCUCACUGUCCUUUCACUGAGGUCAAUGCUAGAAUGAUUUCUUUAUCAGUCAAUAAUUUGUUUUAAGAUUAGAGGCUUAUUUGUGUUAAACCACAUCUGGAAUUUGUCGCAGACUAAUAUUCGUUCCAUUCGCAGCAAGCCAAAUAUGCGUUAUGUUGAAACUCUUGGAAGGUUUUUUUUGAGGAAGUCAGAUUAAGUUGAAUCUAUAGUCCGUGCAUGUGCCCAUAAGUCUUAUAUCUCUGUUUCCUUUAAUUGCUCUUUUUUUUGUCUUUGUGCCAAACAGUUCACCAUUCAGAUGCAUAAGCCAAUCAAAUUAUCAUUGGCUUAUGGAUCUAGUGCAUGCAUGUCACAUGUGCAGCAAUGACAUGGGGCAUGGUACCUCCCAUGCCUCCAAUAGCACUGGAUCUAGUCCCUUUCUGGUUACUUGAGUGUGAAUUUCACACAAUUUUUCUUGGUGCACUCCAUCUUGACUCAUGUGUUUAUUGUCUCAUUUGAAUUUUCUUUUAU